rnacentral:piRNA from 1 species
UGGAUUCAGAAUGGACUUGAUCUGUCCGUA